GGAAGAAAAUAUAAGGCACACUUCCGCUUCCGGUCCGUGCCCUUGUGGCUCCGUGUCCUGUAGGUCUUGCCUUUGCUGCUUGGUCUGCAUCUGGGGAUUAUGGCGGCCGCCGCUAGGGCCUGGUGUCGGGGGCUCGUGGGGGCCGUGGCGCUGCCCAGGGGGGUUGGACGACCCUCGGCGCUGUUGCUGCCGGUGAGGAGGGAAAGCGCUGCGGCCGACAAGCGCCCCACUGUCAGACCACGGAAUGAUGUGGCCCACAAACAGCUCUCAGCUUUUGGAGAGUAUGUGGCUGAAAUCCUGCCCAAGUAUAUCCAACAAGUUCAGGUGUCCUGCUUCAAUGAGUUAGAGAUCUGUAUCCAUCCUGAUGGAGUCGUUCCAGUGCUGACCUUCCUCAGGGAUCACACCAAUGCACAAUUCAAAUCCUUGGCUGACUUGACAGCCGUGGACAUCCCAACCCGGCAGAACCGUUUUGAGAUUGUUUACAACCUGCUGUCUCUGCGCUUCAACUCCCGCAUCCGUGUGAAGACCUAUACAGAUGAGCUGACACCCAUUGAGUCCUCCGUCUCUGUGCAUAAGGCAGCAAACUGGUAUGAGAGGGAGAUCUGGGACAUGUUUGGAGUCUUCUUUGCUAACCACCCUGACCUAAGAAGGAUCCUGACAGACUAUGGCUUUGAGGGACAUCCUUUCCGGAAAGACUUCCCCCUGUCUGGCUACGUUGAGCUGAUCCUCCAAUAACAAGAAAAGCCAUGUCAAAUUGAUUGCCUCACAUCUUUUAUUUUUUUGAUUGCCUCACAUCUUGACACCGAUAAUGCCAAGGCCCCAAGGCCUGAACUUGAGUGCCUGCCAGUUAGGUGUACUCUUUUCAGCCACUGACUUGCUCUCUGAUCCUGGGCAAAUUCUUAUAAAGUGUGUGGAUGGUUACGCUAUGAUGAUGAAGUGAAGCGUGUGGUGGCUGAGCCGGUGGAAUUGGCCCAAGAGUUCCGCAAGUUUGACCUGAAUAGCCCAUGGGAGGCUUUCCCUGCCUAUCGCCAGCCCCCUGAGAGUCUCAAGCUUGAAGCCGG